rnacentral:lncRNA from 1 species
GAAAAAGUCAUGACAUGCCCCCUCUAAGUUCCUAUAUAAACCAAACCACCAAAGCCCUUCACAUUCAUCCUCACCACAACAACAAACCCUAGCUACUCUUUGAAAAGAAGUCCUAACUUGGUGAGGAUUAGAUCAAAAGUUCUCCCAAAUAUGGCCAAUGUUUGGCCAAACUUGCUAUACGGCGUGGCUCUAUGCUUGUUAGCAUCCACCAUUAGUGUAGAGGCUGAUGAUAAGCCUUACUAUUACUCAUCUCCCCCUCCGCCGUAUUAUUACAGUUCGCCUCCUCCUCCGAUGAAGUCUCCCCCACCACCGUAUUAUUACAUUUCGCCUCCUCCACCUAAGAAGUCUCCUCCGCCACCGUAUUACUACAAUUCGCCUCCUCCACCUAAGAAGUCUCCACCGCCACCAUAUUACUACAGUUCACCUCCUCCUCCUAAGAAGUCUCCCCCACCGCCGUAUUACUACAGUUCGCCACCUCCUCCGAAGAAAUCUCCUCCACCUCCUUACUAUUACAAGUCUCCACCGCCGCCAUCGCCACACCCACCGCCGCCUUAUUACUACAAGUCUCCACCACCGCCAUCUCCUUCUCCUCCACCACCAUAUUAUUACAAGUCACCGCCACCACN